AUAAUUCAUGUGAUAUAAUUUUGGUAAGUUUACAGAAAUAGAAGGUCCAUAAUGCAUUAAUCGAGUAAAAAUGGAGCAAUUUCAGAAAAACUUUAAUGAUUGGUUUAGGAGGUGUUGGAAAUACCUGAUGGGUGCCCCAUAUAAUGUAAUGUUCAAGUCCGUAUCUUAUAUAAAGUAACCCCAUAAAAGAUUUUUACUAAAAUUCGAAAUAGACGGUACACAAUACAGUCAUUAUCAUUUAUGAUAAGGAAUCCGAAUAAGAUUAAUUAAUAGUUAUAUCAGUGACGGAUUCAAAAAACGGAGACCCGGCAGUUUGAAACCCUUUUUU
rnacentral:lncRNA from 1 species